CUUUGUAGCUGUUUUUAUUAUUAAUAUUAUCUUUUCCUUUAAGCAUCCCUUUAAGGGUGAAAUGAAAUCCAACCAUUUACAGAGAAAAUGAUUUCAGAAUGUACAUAUUGAUUUUCCCUUACAAAAAAAAUAAUACUAUUAUCAUUGGCGUCCUUAAAUUAUACAUUUCCCGGGGCCCUGCCUUCUGCUUGGGGAAGUCCCGUCUCCCCUCCCCGACUGUCACCUAUGCCCUCAAAGCUCCCCCAUGCCUGCUCCUGCGAACCAACACGACCCGUGGGUGGGCUGAGCCUCCUGAGUCUAGAGGUCAUAGGGCCAGUGGUUCCCAGGGAAAGACACCUGGUGAUGGUGACAGGGCCGGCAGUGUGCCGACACUCCCAUUCACAGUUUGAUUUCUUUUCAUACUGGGGGAGUGGCUCCGGGCUCCCCUGCCCCCCCAAAUUCCCAGUGUAUGAUGUAAGUAUAAGUGAAACUCAUCAACCCCACGCCGUGGCCCGCCACCCCUCUGAUGACCGCCCUCUGCACCCAAUGGCGCGGUCUCCCCUUGGCAGUGACCGUGAACAGUGUUCUGAGUCUGAGAGGGAAGGUGGGGCCUGGCAGGUCUGAGCUCCCCGCUUUUCCUUCCCCUGCCCUGGAGCUGGUAAACUGGAGGCCAGCCUGGGGAGGGGUCAUCCCCACAGCAGCUGAGGGUGCCAGGGGCAUGGGAUGAGGAAGCCUGCCAGGAGGGAGGCCCUGGGCUGGGGCUCAGGUAUGAUUCAGGAGCCCCCAGAGAUUGCCUGUCCAGGAGAUGAGUGGAGAUGGCUGGGAAGGCAGGCCCUGGCCUGGGUUGGGCUAGAGCCCCAGGGACAUUCUGACCUCUUUUGCCAAUUCUCAGCUUCAAGGCGGACUAGGAAGGGGGGUUGCUAUAACUCCAAGGGAGGGGUUCCCUGGGGGCACGUCACAGACUCCCUUGGGGAGGGCGAGUGGAGGCCAGAGAGCCUCCUCCGCCUGCUUCAUGCCUGCCCAUGAGAGGCUGCUCUGCGGCCAGCUCCCCAGACCACGCCCACACCAGACAUCUCCCUGGACAGAGGUGUGGCAAAGGAGAUGCCCUUCUCUCCCCGCUCAUCAGAAACCCCAAUAAGACACCCAGAGAAAGUCCUGGCUGGAGGCUGGGUGGGACGGGGUGGAAGGAUAUGGUUGGGACCAAGACGGGCUGGGGAGGUAGUGAGCUCUCAGCUGUUCAGCCCUCAGGUCAGGAGGAUUCUCAUUCCUUGGACUGAAAGACAGACAGACAGACAGACCCCGCACUCCCUUUAGCCUUGCUUCCUAGGCUCCCCAAGGGCUUUCUGCCUCAGUCACGUUAGGGGAGCCGCAAGGAGGUGUGGCCACAGGCUCCAGGUCCUGGGGAAGGGGAGGCCUGGGCCCUGCCCCCGCAUCCAUACAGAAGCAUAUAUUUACAGGGACACCCCAAUACAGACACGUACAAGUACACACCAAGCAUGCACACAUGCCCAUAAAUACACACACACACGCACAAACAUGUACCGUUCCACAGGCAGGCUCUGCAUCCUGGCAUCACUGGGUGAACAUCUACGGGGGCCUCGGGUGGGGUGUCUCACCCCUCCUACAACUACAGGCUCUCACUGCCCCCCAGCCCUGGGCUGGCGGUGAGUGGGGGCAGGAGCAGGUGCUUCUAGGAACUCUGAACGGAAGAGCAGGAUCCUAGGACUGCCUUAGCCACUCCUAUGCCCUCUCCCCAUCCCCCUCCCUCUGUGCCAAAGACGUUCCUUGUCUCCUGUCUCCCCUCUCUCCUCCUUCCUUUACUAACAGGACUCUCGGGCUGAGGCUGGGCAUGUGGCCGAAGACUACCUGUCUCAGCUUCCCUUGCAGCUACCUGUGGCCAUAUGACUAAGGCUCGGCCAGUAAGAUGGAAUCAGAAGUGACCAUGCCAUUUCCAGCUCAUGCCCUUGACAGGAAAGGGCAUGUGCUUCUCCUGCCAUUCUCUGCUCUUCCCGGGCUGGGAUGCACAUGUGAUGGUGGGAGCUAAAGCAACCACUCUAUCCAGAAUUGGAAGGUGCACAUGAAGGAGAGCACAGCUGCCUGACUGUAUCUGGACCAUCUCCCUCUAGACGGUUAAGCUAGAAACAAGCUUGUCUUGCUUAAAACCACUAUAUUUCAGGGUGUCUUAAUUAGAGCAGCUGAGAAUCUAACCAAUACAUCCCCUGCCCUCAUGAGGCGAAUAGGAAUGAGAUGACACACGGCUGGCCUUAAAGUCCCUCCUGGGCCCAGGGCAGCCCCAUGGGCCGUUCCUGGUUCUAGCCAGACCCAAGGAGGGGUGCAAGGGUGACUCUAGCAGAGACGGUGCGGAGCUGGGGCUGUGGGUUCCAGUAGGAAGGGGUGAUGGGGAACCUCCUCCCCCCCACGCCCCCUCCCAGGCCCCACCUACUAGGCUGCCUGAUGGUCCGGUCUCUGGCUCCCAUCCCACCCUGAGAACUAGACUCUUGGCCUUGCAGGGACUGACUGGGUAGCCCGUAAGACAGAAAUAUAAAAAGAAAGAAGGACUGUCGAGGCCAGGUUUGGAACCAAAAGGAAGACUCCGCAGGCUUCCGCAGACCCCCUGCCUACCCCCCAGGUGCUAUCUGGCGGCGCAGGGGUGGCCCAUGGGGCAGAGUUCUCAGCUCCCUGCGGCUCAGCUCUUGAGGACAUUGGGCUUCCUCCCAGCCUGCCGCUGUUUCUCAUCCCCUCCCACCUCGGUGUCCCCUCUCCCUCCUGGACCCAAAUGUGUCUAUUUACAGAGCCUCAGGACCUCCUGGCACGCCCACUUUUCCGCUGCAGGUCCAAAGCCCCAGGAGGUCACAUGGUAGGUUUCUCCCUGGCAGGGGCUGCAGCUCGGGCUUGGCUGCCCUGGGGAGUUCCUGCAGGUUCCCUUCCCCACCCUGCCCGCCCUCCCUUGCCACCCGGUAGGUAACCAUCAUGCACUCUCCGCUGGCGCCUCCCAGCCACAGCACUCCUGGUGGACGGAGGGGCCCGACUGCCCUCUCCCGAUGAGGAAGGAAGGAUGUUUUGUGAGCUCACAGGCCUGACCCUUGCUUGAUUCCCAAGGGCCUGAGCAGGGAAGACUCCUCCGCCCAUCCACUCCCGGUCCUCUGAAGAACCAGCCAGACAGCAGAGGGAGGCAGGGAAGCAUCAGGGGGGGCCGCCGCCACUCCCCCCACCUGCCACCGGCCCUCUAAGAUCAUGCAGCCUUAGCCUUCGACCACAUCCAAUUUGCCCCUGGCGGGUGGCCUUCCCUCGGGACCCCUGUUCCGCCGCCCACCUUCCGCGGUGCUCUUGGGCUCCUGGUAGGGGUUGUCCAGCAGGUAGCGGAACUGGGCGUAGUUGUUGAGCAGGUACUUCGGGGCGUACAUGUGUUCGCUGGGGUCGGCCGGCGGGUACUCCUGCUGCGUGCCGUCGAACCAGCCCCCGGUGCGGAUCAGGCUGCGGAUGUAGUUGAGGUCCCGCUUGUCCUCGUAGUCGCCCCAGCGGGGGAAGUCGCCGUUCUGGGCGGACACGAGCUUGAAGUAGAUGCCCUCGGGCGUGAAGCACCAGGAGCAGUGCCAGCCGGCGAAGUGCAGGGGGCUGCCGAGCGACCACUGCACCAGGAUGUGGCCCGUGCGGUUCUCGUACUGCC
rnacentral:lncRNA from 1 species